rnacentral:rRNA from 1 species
CCUACGGGCGGCAGCAGUGAGGAAUAUUGGUCAAUGGACGCAAGUCUGAACCAGCCAUGCCGCGUGCAGGAAGACGGCUCUAUGAGUUGUAAACUGCUUUUGUACGAGGAUAAACGCAGAUACGCGUAUCUGUCUGCAAGUAUCGUACGAAUAAGGAUCGGCUAACUCCGUGCCAGCAGCCGCGGUAAUACGGAGGAUUCAAGCGUUAUCCGGAUUUAUUGGGUUUAAAGGGUGCGUAGGCGGUCGGAUAAGUUAGAGGUGAAAUCCCGAGGCUCAACUCCGGAAUUGCCUCUGAUACUGGUCGGCUAGAGAGUAGUUGCGGUAGGCGGAAUGUAUGGUGUAGCGGUGAAAUGCUUAGAGAUCAUACAGAACCCCGAUUGCGAAGGCAGCUUACCAAGGUACUUCUGACGUUGAGGCACGAAAGCGCGGGGAGCAAACAGGAUUAGAUACCCCUGUAGUC